rnacentral:lncRNA from 1 species
UUGUGCUUGUGUCGGACCCGGCUCGCUCCCAUGUGCUUCUCGAGGUCCAAGCUAGUAAUCAGGUGUUUGCCUGUGUUGCGGUCCACCAGGUGGCUCAGUUCGAGCCUCAGGUCCGCAAGAGGGAGGACGUAUUCAAUGGGGAGAGGUUCGACGCCCCGGGCCUCAGCUUCUGCCUCAAGGGCAGCGGCAAUGGACCAGGUAGGCGCAGUAAAGGCAGACCCAUUUUGGUACAGUGUGACACCGUACUCUUUUGCCAGGGUCAUCUGUUUCAGCGUCGUAAGGUGGUGUGACCUAUGGGCUGGGAGAAGGUGGGCCUGUGUGGGGCCAGCUAUGCUUGCCUGGCGCGGCAGAAGGGCUCGGGUUACUAUCCCAAGACGGCCCGAGUCAUUUAGGGCAAGGACCAGGGCCCGCUGGGCCACACGCGCGUAUUGUGGCAGGAGGGAGCCCAGGCCCAAGCCGUAUUCGUCGGCGGGCAGGAGGGAGGUCCGGGUGGGGAAGCUGCGGGGGAGUCCGUAGCAGCGUUUUGCAAAACCAGCCAGGGUAGUAGUGUCGAGCGUUGUUAUGUCAUGUUUUGUGAAGGGCAUUGCUGCGAAUCCAUAUGCAACUGUGGUGUGCACGCACUGUUGUAUCAUGCGCAGGCGUUGUGCCAGUGUCGCCAGGGAUGUGGCAAUGGCUGUGCCCUUGUCCUUCACAAUCUCGGUGACUCUUGCGACAUGUGCCGACCAGUCCAGCGAGAAC